UUGCAUUUCAAUUGUUAUGUU
rnacentral:piRNA from 1 species